GACGAACGCUGGCGGCGUGCUUUAGGCAUGCAAGUCGAACGCGAAAGCCCCUUCGGGGGUGAGUAGAGUGGCGAACGGGUGAGUAACACGUGGGUAACCUGCCCCUCGCAGGGGGAUAACCGGGGGAAACCCCGGCUAAUACCCCGUACGCUUGCUGGGGCGCAUGCUCCGGCAAGGAAAGGUAGCUUCGGCCAUCCGGCGAGGGAGGGGCCCGCGGCCCAUUAGCUAGUUGGUGGGGUAACGGCCCACCAAGGCGACGAUGGGUAGCUGGCCUGAGAGGGUGGUCAGCCAAACUGGGACUGAGACACGGCCCAGACUCCUACGGGAGGCAGCAGCCAGGAAUCUUGCGCAAUGGGCGAAAGCCUGACGCAGCAACGCCGCGUGGGCGAUGAAGGCCUUCGGGUCGUAAAGCCCUGUUGUCGGGGACGAAGGGCGAAGGGUUAAUAGCCCCUAGCCUGACGGUACCCGACGAGGAAGCCCCGGCUAACUACGUG
rnacentral:rRNA from 1 species